UUAUGUUAUCUAGAAACCGUGCACUUGAUAUGUAUAUACCCCCUUUUUGUUACUACCCCCUUUUUGUUACACCGUGUAUAGGAAAACUAUCACCUAUUCUAGGCACACCAUUUCUCAUAUAUAUGUCAAAAUCAAUAGUACAUAUUACACGAAAACCAUUUUAAAAAACACGUCUCGUUUAAUACAUUUUAAUUCUUAACUCUUUGCAAUAAGACCUAUUUUACAUUUUCAGGACGGUUUGUGUAAGUUUGUUUUUCGUUUGUAUAUAAAUCGAUUUAGUUGGGUGUAUAUGUUUUAAACUAUAUGUUUUGGUGUAUCGGGAAGCAAGUGUAGUGUUUAAAAGAUGGGUUUUCUUAAUAGUUUUAUCAUUGUUUUAGUUGUACUUGUCUUUUUAGCUCAGGAUAUACAAGGCCAUUGGUGGGGCGGACCGGGGUGGUAUAGACCUGGGUACGGGUACGGUUUCGGCCAUGGGUAUGGGCCCGGAUUCGGGCCUGGCUUCGGACCUUAUUACGGACCUGUACUCCCGCCACCGCUACCACCACCGCCACCACCUUUCUUCUUCGGAUGAAUAUGAAUGCCAUCACUUUUCUUAUGUGAAAUUUAAAAUAAAUAAAGGACUGUUUGUAUAGUAA